rnacentral:other from 1 species
AAGCUUCUGCGGGGUUCGUCACCGAUUAUGAUGAUUGAGCCAACGUCGUUCACAAGGGAGAUCGACAUCGCGAGCUAGAGCUUUUCUUCAUCGUUAAGAAGAGCCAAGAGCCGGCGGUGAAAAAAAGAUCACCCACCUGAUAACUCAGGUUCAAUUACGACUUCGGAGCGGCCCGGCGGUUUUCCC